rnacentral:rRNA from 1 species
UACGGAGGGGGCUAGCGUUGUUCGGAAUUACUGGGCGUAAAGCGCACGUAGGCGGCCUUGUAAGAUGGGGGUGAAAUCCCCGGGCUCAACCCGGGAACUGCCUUCAUGACUGCAAAGCUUGAGGAUGCGAGAGGUUAGCGGAAUUCCGAGUGUAGAGGUGAAAUUCGUAGAUAUUCGGAAGAACACCAGUGGCGAAGGCGGCUAACUGGCGCAUUUCUGACGCUGAGGUGCGAAAGCGUGGGGAGCAAACAGG